rnacentral:rRNA from 1 species
AUUGAACGCUGGCGGCAGGCCUAACACAUGCAAGUCGAACGAGUGGCGGACGGGUGAGUAAUGUCUGGGAAACUGCCUGAUGGAGGGGGAUAAAUACUGGAAACGGUAGAUAAUACCGCAUACCAUCGGAUGUGCCCAGUUGGGAUUAGCUAGUAGGUGUGGUAACGGCUCACCUAGGCUACGAUCCCUAGCUGGUCUGAGAGGAUGACAGUCCACACUGGAACUGAUACACGGUCCAGACUCCGACGGGAGGCAGCAGUGGGGAAUAUUGCACAAUGGGCGCAAGCCUGAUGCAGCCAUGCCGCGUGUAUGAAGAAGGCCUUCGGGUUGUAAAGUACUUUCAGCGGGUAUGCGUUACCCGCAGAAGAAGCACCGGCUAACUCCGUGCCAGCCGCCGCGGUAAUUC